GACGUAGGGCGCGAGCGUUGUCCGGAUUUAUUGGGCGUAAAGAGCUCGUAGGCGGCUUGGCGCGUCGACCGUGAAAACUUGGGGCUCAACCCCAAGCCUGCGGUCGAUACGGGCAGGCUCGAGUUCGGUAGGGGAGACUGGAAUUCCUGGUGUAGCGGUGAAAUGCGCAGAUAUCAGGAGGAACACCGGUGGCGAAGGCGGGUCUCUGGGCCGAUACUGACGCUGAGGAGCGAAAGCGUGGGGAGCAAACAGG
rnacentral:rRNA from 1 species